rnacentral:rRNA from 1 species
AGUGAACGCUGGCGGUAGGCCUAACACAUGCAAGUCGAACGGCAGCACAGUAAGAGCUUGCUCUUACGGGUGGCGAGUGGCGGACGGGUGAGGAAUACAUCGGAAUCUACUUUUUCGUGGGGGAUAACGUAGGGAAACUUACGCUAAUACCGCAUACGACCUACGGGUGAAAGCAGGGGAUCUUUGGACCUUGCGCGAUUGAAUGAGCCGAUGUCGGAUUAGCUAGUUGGCGGGGUAAAGGCCCACCAAGGCGACGAUCCGUAGCUGGUCUGAGAGGAUGAUCAGCCACCCUGGAACUGAGACACGGUCCAGACUCCUACGGGAGGCAGCAGUGGGGAAUAUUGGACAAUGGGCGCAAGCCUGAUCCAGCCAUACCGCGUGGGUGAAGAAGGCCUUCGGGUUGUAAAGCCCUUUUGUUGGGAAAGAAAAGCAGCAGGUUAAUACCCCGCUGUUCUGACGGUACCCAAAGAAUAAGCACCGGCUAACUUCGUG